GAAUUACUCCCUCCGUCUGGAAAUACAUGUCCUAAAAAUGCAUGUAUCUAGACUUAUUUUACUUAUAGAUACAUCCAUUUUAUUCAUUUCUAGGACAAGUAUUUUCGGACGGAGGGAGUAUUUU
rnacentral:pre_miRNA from 1 species